rnacentral:hammerhead_ribozyme from 1 species
AUCCUGCCGAUGAGUCUCAAAUAGGACGGAACGCGCCUCCUGUAU